rnacentral:rRNA from 1 species
UACGUAGGGGGCUAGCGUUGUCCGGAAUCAUUGGGCGUAAAGCGCGUGUAGGCGGUCCGAUAAGUCCGCUGUGAAAGUCGAGGGCUCAACCCUCGAAUGCCGGUGGAUACUGUCGGGCUUGAGUACGGGAGAGGCGAGUGGAAUUCCUGGUGUAGCGGUGAAAUGCGCAGAUAUCGUAAGGAAGACCAGUGGCGAAGGCGGGUCUCUGGACAGUUCCUGACGCUGAGGCACGAAGGUCAGGGGAGCAAACGGG